rnacentral:tRNA from 1 species
AUCUAUAUAGUAUAAAAAGUAUUUUUGACUUCCAAUCUUAUAGUCUAUCAAAGAUAGUGUAGAUA